AUAUCCUAUUGAUACAAUCAGUUUGCAAUGGGUCUGUAUGAAUGUCAUGAAUCUAUUGCUAGAUAUUAUGAAAUAUGAGUAUUGAUUGCCUUCAUAUGUUAUGCAUUAGAUGAUAUUGAUGAGAAGAAUUUCUUGAUAUGCAUAUGGACUAGAGUUUAUGAUCUGGGUUCUUCUCCCAAAAGUUUGAUUACAAACCCUUGGCUGUCUGAGCACUCUUAAUCUGUUUUCUAUUAUCUUCCAAUCUGUAGUUUUGCAAAACCCAUAAAAAAUUUCUCAAAUUUAUUGGCUUUUUUUUUGCUGUAAAAUUGUUCUUGUUUGGUAGGGUUUAUAUGGCAGUAUGGAGCUUAUGAUGAUAAUUUUUAAAUAUCUUAGCGGAUUUCAGUGAGACCUUAGGGUGAAUGAUCUGAUUGUUACACACACUGAGGCUCAAAUUUUAAUUAUUUUUCCUUCAAAUUUUCACAGUAGUUUUGGUUUGGUUUAAAGCGUGCAAAUCUUGAUUUGUUGGGUUGUGGUUUGCGAUGAUGAGAUGAAACACUGGACGUGUUUUGGGCAGUGGACAAGCUCAUUUGGUAUUCUUUAUUCUUUGAUUACAAUUGGACGUGAUUCCAUUACAUUCAUUAAGCAACGAAACCCUGAAAGGAUCUCUCUCCCUCUCUGUAUUCUUUGAUUCAUUUGGUAGAAACCCGUUCGUUUUUAGAGGCAAAAGAAGCAUUGUGAAGUGGGCAUAAGGUAGAAACCCGUUUGUUUUUCAAAGGUUUAGAUUCUGUCAUUUUGUGCAGAACUAAUCAUUUCCUGCUCUGAUAUUCUAUAGUUGUGAUAUUUGAUCAGGAUGCAGGUUUGACACUUUGUCGAAUUGGAACAAUGAUGAUGGAGAAGCCAUGGGAGCUGCAAAACAUGUUUUGUUUGCAGCUCUAUAAGUAUAUUUGAAUCCGAUUAUUUUCUUAUUUUUAUGUGUUCUAACUCAAAUUGGUUUGAUUUAUUUUAUUAUAUUUUGUAGAAAUGGGGAGUAAAACAUCCAUGACAAAUUUGAAUAAGACUCUCCCUUCUUAGUGUGAUUAAGAUAUGUUGGAAGGUUGCUUUGUGAAGGCUUUUGGAAGAAUGGAUGCAGCAGAUUUUUUGCAAGGAUAUUAUCUCUAUGUGUAUUUUUGUGAUGGGUUGUAAUCUUUAAUGUCAUAAGUUUAAUUUGGUUUGUGUAUUAUUUUUUGUAAUGGUUUGUAAGAGAUUAUAUUUCCUUUCCUUGGUUGGUUGGUUGAAUUGAAUGUGUGUAUGUGAGAUUUAUUUAGUUUAGAAACUUAGAUUGGAAUGAUGGAUUUUUAUAGCUUGAAUUUACAUAAUUUCAGGUUUUGAAAGA